rnacentral:rRNA from 1 species
GAUGAACGCUGGCGGCGUGCCUAAUACAUGCAAGUCGAGCGAAGCGGGGACGGGUGAGUAACACGUGGAUAACCUCCUAUAAGACUGGGAUAACUUCGGGAAACCGGAGCUAAACCGGAUACUUAUGUAUGGAUCCGCGCUGCAUUAGCUAGUUGGUAAGGUAACGGCUUACCAAGGCAACGAUGCAUAGCCGACCUGAGAGGUGGAUCGGCCAAACGGGAACGGAGAAACGGUCCAGCCUCCUACGUGAGGCAGAAGUAGGGAAUCUUCCGCAAGGGGCGAAAGCCUGACGGAGCAACGCGGCGUGAGUGAUGAAGGUCUUCGGAUCGUAAAACUCUGUUAUUAGGGAAGCGGUACCUAAUAAGAAAGCCACGGCUAACUACGUGCCAGCAGCCGCGGAAUUC